rnacentral:rRNA from 1 species
GACGAACGCUGGCGGCGUGCUUAACACAUGCAAGUCGAACGAAGUGGCGAACGGGUGAGUAACGCGUAAUCAACCUGCUCUUCUGAGGGUGACAAUAGUUGGAAACGACUGCUAAUACCUCAUACUGAUGGAGGGGAUUGCGUCUGAUUAGCUAGUUGGAGGGGUAACGGCCCACCAAGGCGAUGACCAGUAGCCGGUCUGAGAGGAUGAAAGGCCACAUUGGGACUGAGACACAGCCCAGACUCCUACGGGAGGCAGCGGUGGGGAAUCUGCCGCAAUGGACGAAAGUCUGACGGAGCAACGACGCGUGAGUGGUGACGGACUUCGGGUUGUAAAGCUCUGUUAAUCGGGACGCGGUACCGGGAUAAAAAACCACGGCUAACUACGUGCCAGCAACCGCGGUAAUUC